UACGAAGGGGGCUAGCGUUGUUCGGCAUUACUGGGCGUAAAGCGCACGUAGGCGGAUUUGUAAGUCAGGGGUGAAAUCCCGGGGCUCAACCUCGGAACUGCCUUUGAUACUGCAAGUCUUGAGUCCGAUAGAGGUGAGUGGAAUUCCUAGUGUAGAGGUGAAAUUCGUAGAUAUUAGGAAGAACACCAGUGGCGAAGGCGGCUCACUGGAUCGGUACUGACGCUGAGGUGCGAAAGCGUGGGGAGCAAACAGG
rnacentral:rRNA from 1 species